rnacentral:lncRNA from 13 species
UUUCUACAAAAUGUGGCUCCAGCUCAGGACUAACCUCGAGUUCAAAAUUGGGUGGAUACUGGUUGGUGGAAAAGAGUUAAUUGCAGCCGGGAGAUUAGAUCCAGAAGAUGACAGGUGAGCACAGUCAAUGUCAGGGUGAGUGAGGGAAGAGGUGGGAGAAAGAAGAGUGCCUGUGGCCAUUCCCGUGAAAAACCGAAAACCAGAAUGAUACAGUGGAACAUGUCAUGUGGACCUAAGGGACAAAGCCAAG